rnacentral:rRNA from 1 species
UACGUAGGGUACAAGCGUUGUCCGGAAUUAUUGGGCGUAAAGAGCUCGUAGGCGGUCUGUCGCGUCGGAUGUGAAAACCCAGGGCUCAACCCUGGGCCUGCAUUCGAUACGGGCAGACUAGAGUUCGGUAGGGGAGACUGGAGUUCCUGGUGUAGCGGUGAAAUGCGCAGAUAUCAGGAGGAACACCGGUGGCGAAGGCGGGUCUCUGGGCCGAAACUGACGCUGAGGAGCGAAAGCGUGGGGAGCAAACAGG